rfam:Ovis aries breed Texel chromosome 12, whole genome shotgun sequence.
UCCCCAGUGGUCCAGUGGUUAGGACUCUGCGAUUCCACUGCAGGGGGCACAGGUUCGAACCCUGGUCGGGGAA